CUUCUGCAGACCUGAGGGCUCUGUGUUGUGGACAUACACUUGAAUAAAAGUUACAUACUGUGCCUGACUGUUCUAAAGAUACCUUUUGUUCAGAAUGUUUGGAAAAGCCAGCUUUUAAAAUGUAAAAUUUGAGAGAUACACCUUUCAAUAACUGGUGAAACUCUGAUCUCUGAAGCUGAGGUGUUACAGGAAUGGAGUAGCAAAUACUGAAGUGCAAGACUAGAUUUAAACAACUUUGCUUUAUUACUGUGUUGUUGAUAAUGAUAACUGAGGCUUGAUUUUUUUUUUUUCUCUCUUCCAGAUGAAAUAAAAAGUGAGCUGGAAAAACAAAGGUAAAUUAUUAAUUACUCUGAACAGUGUGUGAAAAGAACAAAUGGAAUGAUUUUGUGGAAGUGUAAGAGUGUUACAGCAGUGAGUUUGUGAAUAGCCAGUUCCCCACCUUUCUGCCAAGAACACGUGGCCUGGCCUGUGUGUUUCACUUACACAAUGUUUGUGGCUCUGGGUACUCAAGCCAUAACUGCCUAUGAAUUUCACCAGGAGAAAAUUGCAACAUUUCCAAAGGGUGCCAGUUUUUGGCUUCCUUUUACUGGACCCAAUAUCCUGAUAAAAAAUCAUGGGGAGCAGUGCAUAUGCCCUCUGUUUGAUAGCAUGUGCUCUUUAUUACCUAGAUCAAGAACACCAAUUGAAGUAUUACUUAAAUAAAAGUUUAUAAAAGUUUUCUAGCACUGUGCUAUGAUUGAAAAUGAGCAAAUGGGUCUCCAAAUGUGUUCCUAUCUGCUUAGUGUUCUGCUUAUGGGCUCUGUUUAAUCCAUUUUGAAUAACAUGAAUAGAUACAUCAGUUGUGUAGGAGUUUUCCAAUAUUUAACAUAGUGGGACAGUGUUGGAAUAUAAUGGGGAAAGAGUUAAAUUGAAGAAGAUACAAAAAAGAUCAGAUAGAAUAUAAAUAAAUGUAAAAUGGGUUUUGUGCAAUUUUGGAAGAAAAUUGAUCUUCGUUUGAGAAAGUAUAUGCAAGAAAGCUGCAGUACAUUUGUAUGCUGCAGUGCAUUAUUUAACUUUAAAUUUAGAAAAAGGAGAAAUCGUAGUUUGCUGUGAUAUACAUGUUUAGAAAAAUGAAUAACUCUUCUUAUCUGACCUAGAGAAGGCACUGCUGCUCCACCAAAAGCAAAUUUCAUUGAAGCAGAUAAAUAUUUCCUUCCAUUUGAGCUGGCCUGCCAGUCAAAGUCUCCACGCAUUGUCAGUACUUCCCUGGAUUGUUUACAGAAACUCAUUGCCUACGGGCACAUCACUGGCAAUGCUCCGGACAGCGGAGCUCCCGGCAAGCGCCUGAUCGACCGGAUCGUGGACACCAUCUGCAACUGCUUUCAGGGUCCUCAGACGGAUGAAGGGGUACAACUGCAGAUAAUUAAGGCUCUUCUCACUGCAGUAACAUCUCCAUAUAUAGAAAUUCAUGAAGGAACAAUUCUUCAAACUGUUAGAACCUGCUACAACAUCUAUCUGGCCAGUAAAAAUCUUAUUAACCAGACAACUGCCAAAGCUACCCUGACACAGAUGUUAAAUGUCAUUUUUACACGGAUGGAAAAUCAAGCUCUGCAGGAGUCCAGAGAAGCAGAGCGAGCGCAGAAGCCGCAGUCCCCACGGCCAGGACAGCGACAGCACGGCUGGGGAGGCAGGGCUGGCAGCGGGGGCAGCGUGCUGGCCAACGGGGAAACUGGCCAAGAGGAAACAAUUGAUGGAGGAAAGGAAAUGGUCCAAGGCAUCUUGGAAGAUGUGGUGGAGUCAGCUGUGAAAGUGGCUGAAGAAAAGCAGGUAACAGAACCUGUCAAGACUCUGCCUGCAUUAGAGACUGCAGAUACUCUUCUAUCUGGCUCUAGCAAUGAAAAUGUACAAACAAAUGGGAUUCCAGAUGAUGGGCAGUCUGUUUCCUCCACCGAUAAUCUGGAAACAGAUGUGUCUGGACAUCAGGCUGCUGCCAGGUUUUCCCAUGUUCUACAGAAGGAUGCCUUCCUUGUGUUCAGGUCGUUGUGCAAGCUCUCAAUGAAACCUCUGGGGGAAGGACCACCAGAUCCCAAGUCCCAUGAAUUGCGUUCCAAGGUUGUGUCUCUCCAGCUGCUUCUCUCAGUGCUGCAGAAUGCUGGUCUGGUUUUCAGGACACAUGAAAUGUUCAUCAAUGCAAUCAAGCAAUAUCUUUGUGUAGCAUUAUCUAAAAAUGGAGUCUCUUCUGUUCCUGAUGUGUUUGAGCUCUCUCUUGCCAUCUUCCUCACGUUGCUUUCAAAUUUUAAGACUCAUUUAAAAAUGCAGAUUGAGGUGUUCUUCAAAGAGAUCUUCCUGAAUAUUCUAGAGACUUCUUCAAGUUCCUUUGAGCACAAAUGGAUGGUGAUUCAGACUUUAACAAGAAUCUGUGCAGAUGCCCAAUGUGUAGUGGACAUUUAUGUUAACUAUGAUUGUGAUUUGAAUGCUGCUAAUAUAUUUGAACGUCUUGUGAAUGAUUUGUCCAAAAUCGCCCAGGGACGAAGUGGGCACGAGCUGGGAAUGACACCUUUACAGGAACUAAGCCUGAGGAAAAAAGGACUUGAAUGUUUGGUUUCUAUUUUAAAAUGUAUGGUAGAAUGGAGCAAAGACCUUUAUGUGAACCCCAAUCAUCAGACUAGCUUGGGUUCAUAUAAACCAUCUGAACAGGAAAUGGCUGAAGGGAAAUGCCUGGACGCCGGAGGGAGAAGGAGCAGUGUCAGUUCCUUGGACUCCACUGUAUCAUCAGGAGUUGGGAGUAUUGGUACCCAGACUGCUGUCCCAGAUGAUCCAGAGCAAUUUGAAGUCAUCAAGCAACAAAAGGAAAUAAUUGAACAUGGGAUAGAACUGUUUAAUAAAAAACCAAAGAGAGGAAUACAGUAUCUACAGGAGCAGGGAAUGCUUGGCACUACAGCAGAGGACCUGGCACAAUUCUUGCACCAAGAGGAACGCCUCUGCUCUACUCAAGUGGGGGAAUUUCUUGGGGAAAGCAGCAAGUUUAACAAGGAAGUGAUGUAUGCCUAUGUAGACCAGCUUGAUUUCUGUGGAAAAGACUUUGUCUCUGCUCUGCGGAUUUUCCUGGAAGGUUUUCGUCUGCCAGGGGAAGCCCAGAAGAUUGAUAGAUUAAUGGAGAAGUUUGCUGCUAGAUAUAUUGAAUGCAACCAAAGGCAAACACUAUUUGCUAGUGCAGACACUGCCUAUGUUUUGGCAUACUCCAUUAUAAUGCUGACUACAGACUUGCACAGUCCACAGGUAAAAAAUAAAAUGACAAAGGAGCAGUACAUUAAAAUGAAUCGAGGAAUCAAUGACAGUAAAGACCUGCCAGAAGAGUAUUUAUCCACAAUCUAUGAAGAAAUAGAAGGAAAGAAAAUUGCAAUGAAAGAGACAAAAGAAUAUGCAAUUACAACCAAGUGUAGUAAACCAAGUGUAGCUAAUGAGAAGCAGCGGAGGUUGUUGUACAACUUGGAGAUGGAGCAAAUGGCAAAGACAGCCAAAGCCCUCAUGGAGGCAGUGAGCCAUGCAAAGGCACCUUUCACCAGUGCCACUCACCUGGACCAUGUCAGACCCAUGUUCAAACUUGUGUGGACUCCACUGCUGGCAGCUUACAGUGUUGGCUUGCAGAACUGUGAUGACACAGAAGUGGCAUCCCUGUGUUUGGAAGGAAUUCGCUGUGCCAUUAGGAUAGCCUGUAUCUUUGGAAUGCAGCUUGAACGAGAUGCUUAUGUCCAGGCCCUUGCUCGUUUUUCCUUGCUGACUGCCAGUUCCAGCAUUACAGAAAUGAAACAGAAGAACAUUGAUACCAUUAAGACACUCAUUACAGUUGCUCACACAGAUGGCAACUAUCUUGGCAAUUCUUGGCAUGAGAUCUUGAAAUGCAUUAGCCAGCUGGAGCUGGCACAGCUCAUAGGAACUGGUGUGAAAACUCGGUAUUUGUCUGGCUCUGGGCGUGACAGGGAAGGCAGCAUCAAGGGCUAUGCCUCUGCAGGAGAGGACUUCAUGAGCCUGGGAUUAGGGAACCUCGUUGGGAGUGGGGCUGACAAACGGCACAUGGCGAGCAUCCAGGAGUCUGUGGGGGAGACCAGCUCCCAGAGUGUGGUGGUAGCAGUGGACAGGAUAUUCACGGGCUCCACGAGGCUGGACGGCAAUGCCAUAGUGGACUUUGUGCGCUGGCUGUGCGCCGUGUCCAUGGACGAGCUGGCGUCCCCGCACCAGCCGCGCAUGUUCAGCCUGCAGAAGAUCGUGGAGAUCUCCUAUUACAACAUGAACCGCAUCCGCCUGCAGUGGUCCAGGAUCUGGCACGUCAUUGGAGAUCACUUCAAUAAGGUUGGGUGUAACCCUAAUGAAGAUGUUGCCAUCUUUGCUGUAGACUCAUUAAGGCAGCUGUCAAUGAAAUUUCUUGAGAAGGGAGAGUUAGCCAACUUCCGCUUCCAGAAAGACUUCCUAAGGCCUUUUGAGCAUAUUAUGAAGAAAAACAGAUCUCCGACCAUUCGAGACAUGGUGAUCCGCUGUAUUGCUCAGAUGGUCAACUCCCAAGCUGGUAACAUUCGUUCAGGCUGGAAAAAUAUCUUUGCAGUCUUUCAUCAAGCAGCAUCAGACCAUGAUGGGAAUAUUGUAGAGCUGGCCUUUCAGACUACAGCACACAUAGUUACAAAUAUUUUUCAGCAGCAUUUUCCAGCAGCAAUUGACUCCUUUCAGGAUGCAGUAAAAUGCCUCUCUGAGUUUGCCUGCAAUGUUGCCUUCCCAGACACCAGCAUGGAAGCCAUCAGGCUUAUUCGCUAUUGUGCAAAAUACGUCUCUGAAAGACCACAGGUAUUAAGAGAAUACACAAGUGAUGACAUGAAUGUGGCUCCUGGGGACAGAGUGUGGGUCAGAGGAUGGUUUCCUAUUUUGUUUGAACUUUCUUGUAUCAUCAAUCGUUGCAAGUUAGAUGUUCGUACAAGAGGCUUAACAGUGAUGUUUGAAAUCAUGAAGAGUUACGGGCAUACCUUUGAAAAGCACUGGUGGCAAGACCUGUUUAGAAUUGUCUUUCGGAUUUUUGAUAAUAUGAAACUCCCUGAACAACAAACAGAGAAGUCAGAGUGGAUGACCACGACGUGCAACCACGCCCUUUAUGCCAUCUGUGACGUGUUCACACAGUUCUAUGAAGCUUUGCACGAGAUCCUCCUUCCUGACAUACUUGCACAGUUACACUGGUGUGUAAAACAAGAUAAUGAGCAGUUGGCACGAUCAGGUACAAACUGCCUAGAAAACCUGGUAAUACUCAAUGGACAGAAGUUCAGCCCUGAAGUCUGGGGGCAGACAUGCAAUUGUAUGCUAGAAAUCUUCAAAACAACUAUUCCUCAUGUCUUGCUGACAUGGAAGCCUGUAGGAAUGGAGGAAGAUUCAUCUGAAAAACACUUGGAUUUGGACCUAGAUCACCAGUCUUUAAGCAGCAUGGAUAAAAAUGCUUCUGAAAGAGGACAAAGCCAAUAUUCAAAUCCAACAGAUGAGAGCUGGAAAGGUGGUCCUUAUACCAACCAAAAACUAUUUGCUGGCCUCCUGAUCAAGUGUGUGGUACAGCUGGAGUUGAUACAGACCAUUGAUAACAUAGUGUUCUAUCCAGCAACAAGCAAGAAGGAAGAUGCUGAGCACAUGGCUGCAGCUCAGCGAGACACAUUGGAUGCAGAUAUCCACAUUGACACAGAAGACCAAGGAAUGUAUAAACAUAUGUCUUCACAUCACCUUUUUAAAUUACUGGAUUGUCUGCAAGAGUCUCACUCAUUUUCAAAAGCCUUUAAUUCAAAUUAUGAGCAGCGAACUGUGUUAUGGAGAGCAGGGUUCAAGGGUAAAUCAAAACCCAACCUCCUAAAACAAGAGACCAGCAGCCUGGCGUGCUGCCUGAGGAUCCUGUUCCGGAUGUACGUGGACGAGAGGCGGCGGGAGGCGUGGGACGCCGUGCAGAGCCGGCUGCUCAGUGUGUGCAGUGAAGCCCUGGCAUAUUUUAUUACUGUCAACUCAGAAAGCCACAGAGAAGCCUGGACCAAUCUCCUGCUGUUGCUUUUAACAAAAACGCUAAAAAUCAGUGAUGAUAAGUUCAGGGCACAUGCUUCCACCUACUACCCGUACCUGUGUGAGAUCAUGCAGUUCGACCUGAUCCCCGAGCUGCGCGCCGUGCUGCGCAAGUUCUUCCUGCGCAUCGGGCUGGUCUUCAACAUCUGCAGCACGGAGCAGCACGCACAUCUGGCAGCGACCUGCCCUCCUGCCAGCUCUCAGUGAGCCUCUCAACUGCUCCUGUACGUAAAGCUGUGUCCAGAGAUGCAUUGGAGUGGAAGGGAAAAAAUGGCACCCUGGUGUAUCGCCACCACAGGAGCAAAUGAUUCUUACAGUGGCAUUUGGGAACGAGGCAAAGAAUCCUGUUCUGUCCAUCCUACAGAAGUGUCAGCAGUUUUUUUAAAAUUAUUGCUUACAGAGUCAAUGCAGUAGGUAGUCCUAAGGAAAAUGUUUGAACCGUUAUUUUUCAGAUUUGGAAUGUGUCACUGCCUCAUGGAAUGUGUUCCCUCAUGUCCCAUCAGACACACCUGGCCCAGCUGCAUGUUCCUCUGUGUGUCACAGGUUUGAAAGCCCUACAGUCAUGUCUUGAAACAAGUCUCAAUUUUGAGGUCUUAAAUGACUUCACAUUUGCUUCAUGGGCUUUCUUUACUGUAAGGGGCAGCAUUUGUGCUCUCUCUGCACAUAGGGUAAGGAUGUUUAAUUCAUGCUUCCUUUCAGCCCUUGGUCUGAGACUGUUCUUUUCCUUACGAAAAGCUUUUGUUGUGUUUAAACCAGUUACAAACUGCUGAAGUUGGGUGUGUUACACCCAGCCAUGCCAUGCAGUGCAUGGAGGAGAAGGGGGCCUGGGAUGCCAGUGCAUUGUCAGAGGCUCCCUGUCCCCUGCUGCAGGCAUUGUCCCCAUGACAGCAAUAAUGGGGCUGUGUUCAGGGCACUCUGCACCGCUUGGUUUGCUCAGUCAGGAGGAGCCGAGCGCAGCGGCUCCAGUGCAGCGGCUCCAGUGCAGCUCAGCGCUCCUGCAGUGCUGCCUGCCAGGCGCUUCUCUCCUCUCCUGCACUCACACGGGGCUGGUUCACCGGCUGCAGGGGAGGGACCGGCCAGUGCAGGCAGCCGGAGAAAGGCACCCUUGGCUGGGUUGUGCCAGAGGGAUCUGCAGCUCCUGUGCCUGCGCUGCCACGAACACUGGGACUGCACGCGGUUUGUUUGGCACGGGUCAUUGCAGACCUCCCGAGGGAAGGGAGGAAACCCUAAAUCCUCCCUUUGGUGGUGAUUUAAAAGUCCCUUCACGCUGCUUCUGUUGUGUCUUACCGUCCAGGGAAAGGUUGUUUCUACAGCAGUUUGUUAUCCGUGUCUGGUACCUCACCUUCUAAACUGUAAACAGAACAAUCUAAGCCAAUGUCCUCUACUACAACCAGCA